AGUGAGCGCUGGCGGUAGGCCUAACACAUGCAAGUCGAACGGCAGCACAGUAAGAGCUUGCUCUUACGGGUGGCGGGUGGCGGACGGGUGAGGAAUACAUCGGAAUCUACUUUUUCGUGGGGGAUAACGUAGGGAAACUUACGCUAAUACCGCAUACGACCUACGGGUGAAAGCAGGGGAUCUUCGGACCUUGCGCGAUUGAAUGAGCCGAUGUCGGAUUAGCUAGGUGGCGGGGUAAAGGCCCACCAAGGCGACGCUCCGUAGCUGGUCUGAGAGGAUGAUCAGCCACACGGGAACUGAGACACGGUCCAGACUCCUACGGGAGGCAGCAGUGGGGAAUAUUGGACAAUGGGCGCAAGCCUGAUCCAGCCAUACCGCGUGGGUGAAGAAGGCCUUCGGGUUGUAAAGCGCUUUUGUUGGGAAAGAAAAGCAGCAGGUUAAUACCCCGCUGUUCUGACGGUACCCAAAGAAUAAGCACCGGCUAACUUCGUG
rnacentral:rRNA from 1 species